rnacentral:rRNA from 1 species
UACGUAGGGUGCAAGCGUUGUCCGGAAUUAUUGGGCGUAAAGAGCUCGUAGGCGGUCUGUCGCGUCUGCUGUGAAACUCGGGGCUUAACCCGGGCCUGCAGUGGGUACGGGCAGCUAGAGUGCGGUAGGGGAGAGCUGGAAUCCUGGUGUAGCGGUGGAAUGCGCAGAUAUCAGGAGGAACACCGGGUGGCGGAAGGCGGGUCCUCUGGGCCGAUACUGACACUGAGGGAGCGGAAAGCGUGGGGA